rnacentral:misc_RNA from 1 species
UGGCUCUCGCAUCGAUGAAGAACGCAGCGAAAUGCGAUAAGUAAUGUGAAUUGCAGAAUUCAGUGAAUCAUCGAAUCUUUGAACGCAUCUUGCGCUCCUUGGUAUUCCGAGGAGCAUGCCUGUUUGAGUGUUAUUAAUCUCUCAACCACACCAAUCUUUUUGGCUUGGUGUGGCUUUUGGAUGUGGGGGUUUUAUUUUGCUGGCUCCUAUCAAAUGAGGUCAGCUCCCCUGAAACUUAUUAGCGGUAUCUGAGCAGAGAGACCUACUACAGGUGUGAUAAAUUAUCUAUGCCUUGGUCAUACUGCAUGAACAGAUUGUGCUGCUUCCAGUGAAUCAUUUGACAAUUUUGACCUCAAAUCAGGUAGGACUACCCGCUGA